CAACAUUAGGCAUAUAAAUCCUACCUGUCUUCACACACUUACACACUAAAACUCCCACAGAAAGGGGGAAAAUUAGAAAAGGGGUGAUAUAAUUUGACUCUGUGUCACCACCCAAAUCUCAUCUUGAAUUGUAAUCCCCGUAAUUUCUCACCUGGCAAGAGUGGGACCAGGUGGAGACAAUUGGAUCAUGGGGGCAGUUUUCCCCAUGCUCUUCUCGUGAUAAUGAUUGAGUCUCAUGGGAUCUGAUGAUUCUAUAAGUGUCUGGCUUUUCUCCUACUUGCACUCACUCCAUCCUGCCACCCUGCGAGGAAGGUGCCUGCUUCUUCUUUGCCUUCCGCCGUGAGUGUGAGUCUCCUGAGGCCUCCCCAGCAAUGUGGAACUGAUACGUCAUGGAACAGAGGGCAACCUGCCUCCUGGAAAUGUGGAGUGUCUAGGGAGUCACAGCUGAGAUCUUCCUUGGAUUAAAGGCUGCGGGUGUCACAAACAGACCUGAUUGAAAAUUCUUGAUCUGGCCACAUACCCUGUUUACAUUGAUGCAGAUUCAACUGGGUGAAAUAACUGUGAACUGGGCAUGUGAAGAGAAAGCUGAAAGCCAUGAUCUCAAGAUGGAAACUUCAGUAUCCAGCAAAGAAAUGGUGAAGGCGUUCGUUAUGUGGGAUAUGCUGUUACCACUGAACUUGAAGUUAUCAAAGAAGUUCUAUUCUUAACCCUUAAUCUGCUCAGGAUGCUGUAACAACACCAUAAACUUUCAAACAACUCUAUUUCCUACGGUUCUGGAGGCUGGAAGUCCACAAUCAAAGUGUCAUGUUGUCAGGUUGUGGUGAGGGCCCUCUUUUGGGUGUAGAUUGCUAACUUUUCUGUAUGUGUUCACAUGGCAGAAAGAGAUUGAGCUAGCUCUUGGAUCCUUUCUUAUAAGGGCACCAAUCCCAAUACAGAGGCUUCACUCUCAUGACAUAAUUGUCUCCCAAAGACUCUACCUCCAAAUAUUAUCAAUCACAUUAGGGGAUAGAUUUUAACACAUGAUUUUGGGGGGAACACAUUCAGUCCAUAACAUUUCUUGAGUCUUCUUCUAGGACCCAUAGGUUAUUUUAAAAGUGGCUUGUUCAGUUCCAAGUGUUUGAAGAUUUUUUUUUUCUGUUAUCUUUAACUUACUGAUUUCUAGAUAGACCCCAUUGUGCUCAGAGAACACUCCUUAUGUGAUUUCAAUUAUUUUAAAUUUGUUGAGAUUUUAUGACUUAGUAUGUCAUCUGUCUUGGUGUGUAUUCUGUGGGGGGGAUGGGGGGUGCUUGAAAAACGGGUAUUCUGCUAUUAUAGAAUGUCAAAAUAUCAACUGUAAUAAACAAGAAAAAUAAUCCUAGUCUUUUAUUUAAGGGCCCUCUUUAGUCCAUCUCAACAGACCCUUCUCCGAAGGGGAAAGAAAUGCAGCUCACAAGAGCCCAUUAAACAACUAAAACAAGACAAAAUAAAACAACUACCCCCUGCCAAUUUGCACACUGUUACUUCUUUUGUUUUCCCAAUCUUAUUUCUUCUUCUUUUUUAUAAUAAAAAAUUUCAAAGCAAU
rnacentral:lncRNA from 1 species